rnacentral:pre_miRNA from 13 species
GUGUAUAUACGUAUAUACAUAUAUGUGUAUACGUGUAUAUAUACACAUAUAUGUAUAUAUACACAUAUAUGUG